AGCGAACGCUGGCGGCAGGCCUAACACAUGCAAGUCGAGCGCGUGUAGCAAUACACGAGCGGCAGACGGGUGAGUAACACGUGGGAACGUGCCCUUUGGUUCGGAAUAACUCAGGGAAACUUGAGCUAAUACCGGAUAAGUCCGUAAGGAGAAAGAUUUAUCGCCGAAGGAGCGGCCCGCGUCCGAUUAGCUAGUUGGUGGGGUAAUGGCCUACCAAGGCGACGAUCGGUAGCUGGUCUGAGAGGAUGACCAGCCACACUGGGACUGAGACACGGCCCAGACUCCUACGGGAGGCAGCAGUGGGGAAUAUUGGACAAUGGGCGCAAGCCUGAUCCAGCCAUGCUGCGUGGGUGAUGAAGGCCCUAGGGUUGUAAAAGCCCCUUUCGGCGGGGAAGAUAAUGACGGUACCCGCAGAAGAAGCCCCGGCUAACUUCGUGCCAGCAGCCGCGGUAAUACNAAGGGGGCUAGCGUUGCUCGGAAUCACUGGGCGUAAAGCGCACGUAGGCGGACUCUUAAGUCGGGGGCUGAAAUCCUGGAGCUCAACUCCAGAACUGCCUUCGAUACUGAGAGUCUUGAGUCCGGGAGAGGUGAGUGGAA
rnacentral:rRNA from 1 species